CAACUAUAUGUAUCGUCUACAUUGUAAAAGAUUAACAGUAUGUGAUUAAAUAUUAUACAAAAAUUCAACUUUUGAAAGCUUAAUAAGAAAAAAGGGUUAAGUUCAUUAUUAAAAAAAUUAUUAAUUAGCUAUUUUUAAUUUAAUAGAACCUGCGCCAAAUGAUGAGGAUGAAGAAGAGGAUGAAGAAGAUGAAUCUGAAGAAGAAGUUCAAGAUUGGGAUAGCCAGAGUGAAGAGGAUUCUGAUUGGUCCAAUGAUGAAGUCAAAGGAAAGAAAGCAAAGACUAAAGAGGAAGAGAACAAAAAGAAGGAAAUUGAUUUGCCUAAGAAUCAGCAGCAAAAUCAAAAGAAGAAAGAGAAACCAGCCAAAUCAAAGAAUUUGUGUAACUCAAAAGUUAUUAAUCAUUGUGUGAAAAAGCCAUUAAAUUUACCUGCAUCAAAAUUACGAUUGGGAUUAUCACGUAAAGCUGUUAUUAAACCUUUGCAUCCUCAAGUUACAAC
rnacentral:lncRNA from 1 species